rnacentral:rRNA from 1 species
UACGUAGGGAGCAAGCGUUGUCCGGAAUCAUUGGGCGUAAAGAGCUCGUAGGCGGCUUGGUAAGUCGGAUGUGAAACCUCCAGGCUCAACCUGGAGUCGCCAUCCGAUACUGCCAUAGCUAGAGUCCGGCAGGGGCCCACGGAACUCCUGGUGUAGCGGUGAAAUGCGCAGAUAUCAGGAAGAACACCGGUGGCGAAGGCGGUGGGCUGGGCCGGCACUGACGCUGAGGAGCGAAAGCGUGGGGAGCGAACAGG